rnacentral:rRNA from 1 species
ACGAACGCUGGCGGCGUGCCUAACACAUGCAAGUCGAGCGAGGAGAGUUCCUUCGGGAACAAACCUAGCGGCGGACGGGUGAGUAACACGUGGGCAACCUGCCUUGUAGAGGGAAUAGCCUUCCGAAAGGAAGAUUAAUACCGCAUAACAUUACAGUUUCGCAUGAAACAGUAAUUAAAGGAGUAAUCCGCUACAAGAUGGGCCCGCGGCGCAUUAGCUAGUUGGUGAGGUAACGGCUCACCAAGGCGACGAUGCGUAGCCGACCUGAGAGGGUGAUCGGCCACAUUGGGACUGAGACACGGCCCAGACUCCUACGGGAGGCAGCAGUGGGGAAUAUUGCACAAUGGGGGAAACCCUGAUGCAGCAACGCCGCGUGAGUGAUGAAGGUUUUCGGAUCGUAAAGCUCUGUCUUCGGGGACGAUAAUGACGGUACCCGAGGAGGAAGCCACGGCUAACUACGUG